rnacentral:tRNA from 1 species
UGGACGUUCGUCUAGCGGCCAGGACACCGGUCUGUGAAUCCGGAAAAAUCGGUUCGAUUCCGAUACGCCCACCCA